UGCCCGUGCCGAGCAAAUUUCGGCGGCCAUCUUUCUUCUCUUCCACUUUGAAUACAGAAUAUUCCAUUUUUAUCAAACAAAAUAAAAAAAUAAUAAUUAUAAAACAAUUAAAAACAGUUAAUUUAUUUUUUAUUUAAAUCUUCGUCUGAAAUUUGUUCAAAUCGCUUCAUAUAAUGGCCGCCGCCGAAACAUCGAUCUCGAACCCCCCUCCUAAACAUACGUCAGCAGGUGGGUUCGAGAUUGAACGCACCUCCUCGUAGCCAAUAGGAAAGCCGCUAAUACGCUAGGUAUGAGAUAAGAGUUCAAGUCAUUUUGUCUAAAUCCAAGUCAAGUCACAAGUCAUUCCGAGUGGCAAGUCAAUUCACAAGUCAUUUUAUCGCCACAUGUGGCCAUGUUUUCCCACGCAAAACGGCAAAAUAUGUAAAUAUGGCGUCGUUAUUUUAUGUCAGAAAUUUUACCACGAAAUCGCGAAAAAAACCCCGCUUUAUCAGAAAAUACGCCGGCACAAAUUCUGUCGAUGCCAUUGAUAUGUACUAAGGUCGUUGCCCAAAUUGUACAACACGACGAUCGAUCGAUCAACACAAAGAUUUUGGAAAACUUGAUUUUCACUAGAUAUUGUUUGACUUGCGUUGGUAACAAGUCAUUUCUUGCAAGUCACAAGUCAUUUUGUCCAAGUAAAGUCACAAGUCAUCAGUCUCUUUAACAAGUCAAGUCACAAAAAUUGCGACUCGA